AAAAAUGAUUAUGUGCUUAGAUCAGAGAUAAGUGGAUUAUAUAAAAUGAACGAGAAUGAAAACUUGAGUUGAGACAAGAAAAGAAACAGAAUAAGAAGUGUGGCCGCUUGUCCUGCCAGAUGAAGGGGAAAAGGACAGAUUGUUUGCCAUCUUUCAUUGUUUGAAAAUUCAUUCAACAUGGGUAACGUGCCUUCAGAAGUAAAUGGCUGUAACUGCUACAAAUGUGGACAACAGCUCCCUCCAUGCACCUCUUUUUCAAAUUUGGAUACAAGAUGGAUAGAGGGUCGACAAAUGUAUGUAUUUAACAAUGGGAAGUACUAUAGGGAAGUAAAUCAUCAUAAUGCAUAUGAAUGCCCAGACUGCUUUUUUAGACCAAAGAGAGAGAGAGAGAUAAGGGAAGAGGAGAGACAGAGGAGGGAAGCUGAAGAGAGGAGAAGGGAAGAAGAGAGACAGAGGAGGGAAGCUGAAGAGAGGAGAAGGGAAGAAGAGAGACAGAGGAGGGAAGCUGAAGAGAGGAGAAGGGAAGAAGAGAGACAGAGGAGGGAAGCUGAAGAGAGGAGAAGGGAAGAAGAGAGACAGAUGAGGGAAGCUGAAGAGAGGAGAAGGGAAGAAGAGAGACAGAUGAGGGAAGCUGAAGAGAGGAGAAGGGAAGAAGAGAGACAGAGGAGAGAAGAACAAGAAAGAGCCAGCGAGGAAAAGGAGAAACAAAGAAGGGAAGACUUGAAGCAAAGGCUGAAACAAACUCACCAGAAUGCAAAAGAACAGACUGCCAAGGAAAGACUCCAUGGAACAUCUCUGUUUGAAAAUGAGACAAAGAGAGAGUUUUUUAUAAGCAAAUUUGAUGAGUUUGAGGAUUCAGAAAUACUUAACCAUGACCCUAAUGAUAAAGGAUUACUUCUCAUCCUCUCUGAAAAAUGUAGAAUCCCAGCUCCAAAUAUGAAUCUCAGUCAGUUGGCUGUUGACCACAUUGCUGAUAUCACAAGAGCUCUUGACAAUCUAUUGUUUGAUGAAUGGAUUGAUAACCCUCCUUCAGUCAAUACUUUAAACCAAGCACAAGUAUUGAUUACUGAACUGGCUGUAUUGUCAUUGGAUAUUUCUGAGAAAGUCUCGUUGGAAAACAUUUCCAAUCAGUUGCAAUUCAUUGUGGAGACAAUUGGAAGCUCAGACACUGAUUUAUAUGAGUGUUUCCUGUUUACUCAGGCUCUGUUUUUAAACCUUGUGACCCUGUUUGAGAAAAGCAAAGAUACUCAUCAAAACAUCCUCAGCAUCACUAAAAAAUGGGCCAAAAGAGAGCUUUCCGUUGAAGAAACAUCUAUUCUUAAAUUUCUUGAAAUGCUUAUUUAUUCCUUACAAGAUAUUAUGGAAAUUAACACCCAAGGUUUUGUGCUGAAUGUGGAAAAAAAAUGUUACGAGUUGCUCCUGACCACCAUCACACAAUCAUGCAGUGAAGACCUUCAUGCAGACUUAAUCCACAAGCUGUUAGGACUUGUUGAGACAAACCAAUGGACACCAGCUGAGGCAAUGGGUCUCUUAGGAGCAUUGACCGAAAAAUAUGAUGAUGAGUUUUCCAUUGUGAAAACCUUAAAUUUAGUGCAAGCAUAUGGCAUAUCCGCUACGUGGCAAGACAACCAGGGGCGUUCCUUAAGUCAUGUUCUCAACUCUGUUGGCCCUGAAAAGUUCCAUACAGUUCUUGAAAAGUCACUCAAAAGUGAAGAUGAAAGCAGUCUUGAUGAUGUUCUUCAUGAAAUAAAGGCAUCAAGGAAUUUGGAGGAGGCCACCAUUUUUAAGGUACGAUGUAUAGUAAGAGGUGUCCUAAAUUUAAUUGAAAAUGUCACAAAUGAUAAUACUAAUUGUAUAGGUUUAACAAAAGGCUCCUUGAAGAGUCACAGCUUGGAAACCGAAGACCUUCAAAAAACCUUAUUUGUUCUCUGCAAAGCAGUAUUCCAAACAAAAACCUGGUGGCCUCAAGUGACACAGAUGAUCAACUGGUGUUUGGUUGCAUUAUCAGACAACGGCAAACCUUUAGAGGUUGUUACAGAUGAACAAGACUCGUGUGUCAAUGCCAUGCUUGCUGCUAUGCAAGUGCUUAUGGGAGAGCCUGUGGACAUAAUAUUAAGCUCUGCUGCUGAGUGCAAGAAGCAAGUGGACAAAUGGUAUGACUUUUACCAGCUGUUUAGUAUUACAGUUGAUAAAAACAAUGACAAAGCCACUGGAGAAGUCUCCAAGAAAUGCUACCAGUCUGAUAUUGUCUAUGGUACCAUUGAGCAGUUUGUAGCUGAUUACCUCCAUCACAUUUCAGAGCUGAAGAAAACCUCUCACUUCCGGGGGUUCAUUCUUGAAAAGGAUGGCCUUUUUCUACACUAUGGAUUGCAGUUUCCAGGCUUUGUAAAUAAAAAUGGUUUAUUAAAAACCAUUGCAGACUAUAUUAACAUUCUACUGGAUACUGUUUCCAACUCUGACAGCAAUUUGGAUGAGAGGACUCAGUUUGUUACAGUUCUCUUACAUUCACUUCAAGCCCUGCAAGGAGACAAACUAUAUUCUGAUAUGAAGAUUCUGUCCAUUUCACAAAAAAUGUCCAAAGAGUUUUCUAAGGAGGAAAUCCAUGUUCUUAAAUUUCUGGAAACUCUUCUGAAAUCCAUUAAGGAAACAAAAAGAACAACUGAGGGCUUUGUAUCGAAGGCGGGAAGAAAAUGCUUUGAGUUGCUGCUUACUGUGGUCUUGCAAACCUGCAGUGAAGAACCCUCAAAGGAACCAAUCAAGAAGGUUUUGGACCUUGGAAGCACCAAACUAUGGACACCAUUGGAAGCCAUAGACUUCUUUGUCGCUUUGAUAGAGAAAUAUGAUAAUGAUCAUAUUUCCAUCAUGAAAGUUUUACAUUUAGUGCAGAUUUAUCAAAUAUCUUCAACAUGGAAAGAUCGUGAAGGGCAUUCUAUUAUCCAUCUUUUUGACAAAGUUGGAAUAGAUAACCCACUGCUUUAUUUUGAAAGCGAAUUGCAAAGUGAAGGAAACAAAAGUAUAGAAGAUGUUCUCACAGAAAUAAGAGAAUCAAGAGAUAUCGAUGAGGUCACUGAUGAGAAAACCUGCAUCAUUGUUAAAGCUGUUCAGCACAUGAUUGAGCAUGAAGAAAUUGAAAAAUACAAAGAUAUUUAAAAAAUUUUGCUAAAAAGAAACAGCAAGGAUGUAAAAGACCUUCAGCAGGUCCUCUAUAUUCUAUGUGAAGCAGUUUUCAAAGUAAGUAAGUGGUGGCCCAGAGUUACUCAGAUGAUCAGCUGGUGUUUCUUAGCUCUAUCUGACUCUGGGAAGCUUCUGGAGAUGGGUACUGGGGAAGGAAAGUCCUGCGUCAUAGCCAUGUUUGCAGCAAUGCGUGUGCUUAUGGGAGAGAAAGUUGACAUAGUCUCUAGCUCUUCUGUUUUAAGUGAGAGGGAUGCAGAAGAAUGGUCUAAAUUUUAUGAUCAUUUUGGUAUUAAAGUAGAUACAAACACGGCCAAAACCACUGAUGAAGACCGCAAGAAAUGCUACCAGUCUGAUAUUGUUUAUGGCACUGUAGAGACAUUUGCAGCUGACUAUCUACGGCAGACUUUCGAACUGAAGGACAUAUGCCCUGAUCGUGAGUUCCAGUGCAUCAUAAUUGAUGAGGUGGAUUCUCUUUUAUUGGACCGGGGAGUGCAACUCACAUAUCUGUCCACCGACACGGUCAGUAUGUAUCACCUAAAUACUGUCUUGACAAUGAUCUGGAGUACUGUAAGCCAGUAUGGUCUUGUAGCAACAGAAAACAGGACAUUUAUCAGGGGCCCACCACUGCCUUUCUACAAAGCUGUCUAUGAUUCCAUAGACACUGAAGGAUCGGGAAUCGAAGAACCAAUUGAUAUUUUGCGUAUUGCCGAAGAACAUAAUGUGGUUCAUUUGGGUUUCAUUCAGGAAAUCUAUAGAGAUAGAGAGAAACUAUUGGAGGAGUUAAAGACAGUAAACCAGGAUGCUAUGCUUGAGUUCUUUAAAAAAGCAGAAGAAUACCUACCCUAUCGUUUCAUUGCUUACACCCAAGACCAGACUGGAACACUGCAGCCUGAACUUCGUAGUGAGAAUGAUGUACAAGAUAUUCAGGACUUAUCUUUUCUAGUUCUGCAGGAUGGUUUAUGUUGUGCAUUGUAUGAUUCUGAAGAACUCUUAUGGGAUCCCAUUCUAAAUAACGUAAGAGUUAAUCUCCAAUUCACUCCAUCAGAAAACAGUAAAGACAAGCUUAAUAUCCCAGGUUUUCUCAGAAAUCUAGUGGAAAAGAAACUGGAAACUUGGGUUCAGAAUGCCUUUUUAGCCAUCAAGCUAAAGCAAGGCCAGGAAUAUGUAGUUGAAGGUGACUGUAUCCUGCCUGUAGAUUUCAAGUCCACUGGUAUUGUAGAGCUGAACAAGAAAUGGGGUGAUGGCUUGCAACAAUUUCUAGAAAUAAAACACCAAAGUAAAAUAAGUUGCAUGUCCUCUGUGACCAAUUACAUUUCCAAUGUGACUUAUUUCAAAAAGUAUCAGGAGCAUAUCUAUGGAACCACGGGAACAUUGGGGACCAGAUGUGACAUACAGUUCUUACAGGAGCUCUACCCAAAUCUUUCAACUUGUAGUGUUCCACCAUUCAAUAGGAAGAAGCUAUUUGAAGUAAAAGGCGUGAUUACACAUACCAUAGAGGGAUGGAAAACAAAAAUAUGUAUCGCUGUUGAAGACCAGAUUAACCCGACUGCUUAUAGAGGAGGCCGAGCAGCUCUUGUGAUCUGUGAAAGUAUUAACAAAGCCUAUGAAGUUCAUGCAGCACUAAAAACACAUGUGUCUGGUCAACUCAAGCUGUAUACCAGGAGUGACAAUAAUAACCUAAAUAUCUUAGAAGAUGCAUUGAAUCCGGGUGAUGUUAUUGUUGCAACAAACUUAGCUGGCCGUGGCACAAACAUUAAAGUCUCUGAUGAGGUCAAUGAAAGUGGAGGUUUAUUUGUGGUCCUUACCUUCCUUUCUCAGAAUGCAAGAGUGGAGCUGCAAGCAUUUGGCCGAACAGCACGCAAAGGUAAACCUGGUUCUGCUCAAAUAAUCAUGUGCUCCAGCCACCUUCAAGAGUCUUUGAAAUCAGAUUCUACACUGGAAUUGGUGAAGGAAAGCAGGGACAUUCUGGCAAAAAACAAGGUUGAGCAUGUUAUGAUGGAUGAUAUCCCUGAGGUUUGUCUGAGAGAAGAGCUAUUUUCGAACUAUUGCAAGACCCUAUUAAAGAUAUAUAAUGAUAUUGAGGAUGUUGAGGUCCGCAAAGCUACAGUUGCUAUCAUGAAUGAGUACUGGGGCAUAUGGCUGCAAAUAAAGUCAGAGGAGAUUGUAAAUUUAAAACAAACUGAGCUACUUAAGAGCCUGAGUACUGACAUGAUAAAUGCCAAACAUCAGUCUGAAACUAACGAGUCUCCCUGUGCUAGCAUUUACCACUAUAUUAAGUUUGCUAACAAUGCACUCUUUGACAACAAUUUGUCAGAGAGUGCUAGACUUUACAAAAAAGCCAUGGAUCUAGACCCAACCUGGGCUGCCAUUGCUUUCUAUAGUCAUGCCUACUGUACUAUAAAAGAAAGCAAUACAGAUUACCUAUUAAGAGCCAUAGAAGAGUUACAGAAGGCAAAGGAAUCUAUGAAGUACUUCACUGAGGAGUGUGUGGUCACUUUGCAGCUGGUGAAGAUGUGUAGCAGAGAUUCAGGAGAAAGCAAUACGGCCUUUGAGAAACAAAUUAUGACAAAGUGCAAUGUAAUUGGUUACUUUGAUAAAAACAUUAAUGAAGCCUUGAGCAAAUUGACUGACAUCAAGAAAAGAGGUAGGGAUGCAGAGGCAGUGGAAACUUCUGUGUUCUCUUUGGUAACAGAUACUGAAACUGAGAUCCAAGAGCAACUAUAUUUUUUUUAUAAGCUUGGUCUAGAGAAUGUCUUUUCUGUACAAGAAAAACCUCGUUUCUGUUGGGAAGGACUGCUGGUUUUCUUCCUCGGAGUUCUCCAGAUAGUGGGAGGAACGCUUCUGACUGUAUUCACUGCUGGUACACUUGCCACUGUUGGAAUGAGUCUAAUAACUGAAGGGAUAUCUGAUUGUAUCAGUGGAAUAGAAGCCAUGGUGACAGGAGAGUUCAGCUGGAAGUCAUGGGCUAUAGAGAAAUCGAUUUCUGUAGCUGUCUCACUUAUUGGGUUUGGUGUUGGCAAGUUGCUCGCCAAAGGCUUUAAAGCAUCCAAGGCAGCAAUUAAGAGUUUUGGUAAAAAUCUAAAGUCCUUGCCCAAGGUCAUUUCAAAAGAAAGCAGACAAGGUCUACAUGGUGUCAUGAAGGUUAACAUGAAGAAUGCAAUGAAACACACAGGUAAAGAAAUUGGACAACAAAUUGUCAUGUAUGGAAUAAGCAAAGCAGAAGACAAGUUAAUUGAACUCAUUAUUGAAAAAAUAAAAAAUGAAGUCCGAGACAAAGCCAUGACAACAGUGAAAGCAGAUAUGGAAAGGGAUCCAUUGGGACCAUUAGUAGACUUGGUAAUUCUGUCACAGCUUGAAGAUGUGGAAGACGUACGGGAUCUUUUAAUGGAUAGUAAUCUUAAAACACAGUUAAAGGAGAUUUUCCAGUCGAUAUCUAUGAAAGUACUACAGCCAUACUGCAUUGACCUUGACUGGCAGAACACUCUCUCCGCUUCCAUUCUCGGUGUGUUCAAUGAAGCCAAACAGGAAGUUAAAGGGUUGAAAAGCACAGUUUUGACUGCAAUCCAAGCCACACACAUGGCUGCAUUGGGUAUUGAUGCAGUUAUUGCAGUGACCAGUCUUUGUAAGGAGUUUAACAACAAAUAUUCAGAAAAUUUGAAAACAUUUGCAGAAAAAAAUGGGAUGGUGGAGAAAGUGAAAAAAGGACAACUGUCAGUUAAUGACAAGCAGAUAUUGGAGGGUUUCAAACAUGAACUGUCUGAUAUAAUAGCAAAAAAGCUGUCAGAUGUUGUGGUUCAGAUUUUCCAUGACAAAUUCUCCAGCCAUCUUUUUAACAUUGCCAAAGUACAAGCUAAUCAACACCUCAGUAACUAUUUGAGGAUCGGUUUUAAAACAGAAAGAACUAAAGAAAAGCUAAAAGCUGGACAAAAUAACAGCUACAUAGCCAACAAUCCUGUGGAUAUAAAAUCAAAUAAAAAUCUCCACACAGAUAAGCUGCAACGCGUGCAAUCUUAUGCCCAGAAAAUUAAGGAGAUUGAUACUCCAGGGACAAUACUUGAUCUCAGGAUAUUAGCCGAAGCAACUAGGACAAAGGUUGUCAUUUUCACUGAGGACAACCAGGGAAAACUGAAUAAAAUGCAGGUUGUGGACCCCAAUACCAAUACUGCUUCUCAAACUGUUGAAUUAGUCUAUAAACCAAAAAGCGAUCAAUACCCUGAUGGCCAUUAUGACCUCUGUCUCAGUGGAAAAGUAGUCAGGUUGGAAAAUGAAGACAAAAGUUGUAUGUUUCAUGCUUUGGCCCGUGGGCUGCAAUUGACAUCUUCUGAUGAACAUGUCUCUUCUUCAGUGGAAAAGCUCAGAAUGUUGGAAGCUGAAACACUCUUGAACAAGUCAUCCCAAUGGGCAUCUUUUAUUAAACGUAAACAGUGGACAGAUGGGAUCAGAGGGGGCGACUGGUUCAUGGCAGAGGGAGCUGCUCCAAUACGGCGGCAAGAAACAAAAAAUGAACUUAAAAAGCAUCUGGGAAUAGUAAAAAAAUACAAAAAGAACAGGAUAUUUAUGUACAAAUCAGGGAUAGGGCAUUUCAUCAAUGCAGACCAUCAACCACCAGUGAACAGCAUCCUCAGUGCCUACAACAUGAACCAGAACAGUAAGCUUGCUAUAGCAAUGCUCGAAGUUGCAACUCAAUCAAGUCCAUUGAAUGUCAGUUUAAUUCCAUCAGUACACAAGUAUCAUGGCAUGAAUCUUCCCACUUCUUUAUUGCCUCAAGUGUUGCAUCGCAGGUUUCCCAGUACCAUUUCAAAGAAAUUUCGGGAAGAGUUAGCAAAGAGCAUAAGUACUAAUAAUGUACGAGAUGCCUUCAAGCUGACCUUCAUUGGAGCAAUACCCGAUUAUAUACUGAAGCCUUCUACAAAGAAGAAUAACAAUAAGACAUCCAAUAGAGCACAACUCAGAUUAAAUGCACAAAGAUUGGCAGUGUUCCACAACACCAUUCUACAGUCUCAUAUUAAUAUUUUAAAUAAAUGGUAUAAAAAACUUUCACCAAAGAAUGUAAUGAAUCAAAAUGAUUACAAUGCCAUUCACACCUGGAUUAAUGCAAAGGGUUAUUUAGACCAGAACGAUCUGUUUCACAAGAUGGUUGUAGGUUUCCUCCCUUGAGCUGGAAUUUACAAAAAUAGAAGCGAGAUGACCAGCUUUGGAGAAGAACGAUUGUAAUCACAAAAGAUGGAUUCAGCUGCUUCAAAAGAAAAGAAGAAAAAUUGUUUGAAACAUUGCAGCACGAUGCCGUCUGCUAUCUAAUAGCAAAGCUACAGAAUUUUAAGAAAAUGCUUUGCUUUAAAUUACAUAUGAAAAUAAUUCCCUUUGUUUCUUGAUAGUUUGUUUUAUUGAUUACUAGUGUGUGUGUCAGUAAUACACACUCCAUGCAACUUGCAGUACAGCGUGAAAUUCUGACUUAUUUACUGAAAUCUGUAGAAUAACCAGAAAAUGAUCUGAUACGGAAAUAUCAUUAACUGAAUAGUUUGUAUUUAAGCAAUAAUACACAACAGGGUGUGUGUUAUCAUAAGAGAUUGCCACGCCUUCAAGCCCCUUGAUAACACAUCCUGGAGAGUAUCAUUGCUGUUAUUGAUUUAUGAAUGCAAUGAUGGUGUUAAAUGAAAAAAAAAAUUAUUUGUGCAACAUUACACUAAGAGAAGUACUGCUGCAAAGUGAAAUUGUUAACUUUAAAAUUUGAUUGAGAACUGUUCAAAAGUUACCUAAAAACAAGGUAUUUAACAGCUUGUUUGUAACCCACUUUACUAUAAGGAUUGUUGUAAUUCUGAAGUGACUGUUUUUGUAUUGGAUGUGUUGAUUUUAGACAGCGAUGAGGCUGCUUUAGAGAAAUCAGUAAUGUUAUCAUGAGGACAUCUCAGGCAAUCAGAGUCUAGGAUUGUUCCUAAUUAUUUCUAUGAUUAGACAAUAUGCUUUACAUUAAUAUUUCUUUUAGAGUCAUUUUUGUUAUAUAUUAAUAAGUCUCUGUUAUUAGUCAAAAUAUAUUCAAAAGAUUUUUUGGGGGUAACAAAUGUUAGCUUGUGUAGUUCAGGGGGCGUGGAGCAGGGGUUCUAAUCUUCUAAUCUUCUAAUUUUCUAAUUCUGUCAAUUAGUGUUAAUUAGUAUAUUUUUCUAUUUAAGCCCUGAUCACCUGCACCCUUUCUGUCGAGUGUUUCGUUUUUGAAUCCUGACCGGUAGUGUUACGCAUUACUUUAAAAAAAAUAAACAAAAAAAACAAAAAAAACAAUAUAUAUAUAUAUAAUAAUAACUCCUACGAAGAUUAUCGUUCAAACAACUAAAUAGCUGCAAGAUUACCUGCUGACUAUGGAAAAGCCUUCAGCCUACGCCUUUCCUUCCGACUCAGACGAGUUCCUGCCUCCGACUCCUCCACCGGUCCGUCUCUGUCAGACCUCCCGUUCCUCCUCCCGGCUCUCGACUGCACCAGCCCCGUCAGUCAACCUGGCUUCCACCUGGCCUUCAGCUAGGCAAGAGCGCGGCUCAAAGCGCGGUUCUGCCAGCCAGCCCCCGCCACAGCUUCAUUAUAAAGAUUGGAUGACACCUAAGCUACUGAAAAUCCUUUUUGAGAAGUCCAUUCCCAUCCCCGUGGGCGGAGAUCGCAUGUCCUUAUUUCUUACUUAUUGUGAAGCUUUGUCAGCCGAGCUGAUUUUUCCUCCCCGUCUGCAAGCUUCGGCCAUCAGGCCCUCCACCUCUGCUGCUCUCUCAGCUUCUGUUCCUGCUGCGCAUACGCAAGAUCCUGCUCAUGCAGCUCAGCUCCCCCUGCCGGCGCAGUCAGCGCAUCCACAGCAUCUGCUGCCGCAGUCACUUACUUCGCCCAUCACCUCCACCAGCAGCGCCCCUCAGGUCACAUUUAAUCAGCUGAAAACUCUGCUUCAGCCCAUUAUAGACUCUCAGCUAGCCCUCAGCGCCCGUCUUGACAAACUGGAGAAUCCCUCUCCGGUUCUACCUGCCUUCAGUUCCACUCCUGCUCAUACUUCAGGUACGUCCUCUUUAGUACCCCCUGUUGCUUUUCCAGAGUUGAACCUCUCCUCAGCCACUGUAGCAGGUUCUUCUUCUCCCCGUGCUAUUACCAGCCAUUCUAUUUCUCCAAAAAUUAGGAAGCAAAUUAUCGAAGGCAAGGACGUUAAUCUCGUUUCCAUUCGCAUCGCCUCUUCUGAGUUUUUGGAUCACAGAGUGGUCGACUGUGAAGACGUUUCAAUCACUCUAAAGUCCUGCGACCCACGUCUUCAAAAAGGCCUUUCAGUGGGGGAAUUUGUUCUCGCUUUCUCCAUCUAUCGUGACAUUCUCUGUUCUGUUUAUCCACACAGAUUACAGGAGCUAAAUCAGUAUCUCUUCCUGGUUGUUGAAUUGUCUGUGCGCUAUGGGGGCACCCUGUUCUAUCAAUACCACCACGCUUUCUCAGCCAAAGCCGCUGCCACCCUUUCAGCUGACAACCGUAUCGUGGACUGGUCCCAUUCCGACCCAGAUCUUUUCACCCGCAUCUUCAGUGGAAUUCGUGCCAACGCCUGCAGUGCAUGCGCCUCCACAGCGCACUCCUCUCACUUAUGCCCUAAAGUUGCAGCUAGUCCACUUCAACCCAUUCCUCGUCCCUUGCCUUCUCUUCCCAGUUCAAGACCACUUGCCCUUGCUUCCAUCCAUGCUUCAGCUCGGCCCACCAGAUCUCAAGCCCAAGAUAUCUAUGGCCGUCCCAUCAAGUUUUCAGGCGGCAAGCAAAUAUGUAAUAAUUUUAAUUUUUCCACCUGCUUCAACCGUCUCUGCAAGAACCUCCACGUCUGCAGCUUCUGUAAUGACGCCCACUCCCGGUCCAUAUGUCCUCUUACAGCUAAGUGACAAUCAAAACUACUUCAUGUUUUCACUCCCAUCAACGUUUUGGCUUUCGAUAAGGCACUUCAAAAUCAUCCUGACAAGCCGUUCGUCUCCUAUCUAAUUAAUGGACUUACAUAUGGCUUCUUCACUGGCAUUUCUCACAUCCCUUUGGAGUCUCACAUCUGUCAAAACCUCCGUUCUGCCAUAGCAGAGCCAAAAGUCGUCAGUUCCCUCAUCCAAGCCGAAGUUGAUAAAGGCUUCAUGGUCGGUCCCUUUGCAGCACUGCCCUUCACUACCUUUCGCAUUAAUCCCAUAGGCAUCGCUACCUGCAAGUAUUCUGGCAAGAAACGCCUUAUCAUUGACCUAUCUGCUCCUCGGGGCGGUUACACACGUAGCAUCAAUUCCCUCAUUUCAAGUGAGGAGUUCGCUCUUCACUACAUAAAGCUCUCAGAUGCCAUUCAUUUCAUCAAAAUUGCAGGUCACGGAGCCUGGCUGGCCAAGGUCGAUAUCUCUGAUGCAUUCAAGGUCAUGCCUAUUCAUCCUUCCCUCCGUCACCUUUUUGGAGUCUGCUGGGCAGACAAGUUCUAUUUCUCCACCCAGCUCACCUUCGGUUGCCGCAGUAGCCCAAAAAUAUUUGAUUCCUUAUCAGAAGCCCUCUGCUGGAUUUUGCUCAACACCUAUCGUGUUCCCUUUCUCCUCCAUCUAAUGGACGACUUCCUACUUAUUUCCCCCCCUUCAGAUCCUCCAGCCCAAGCAAUUAAUCAGCUCAAGGCCCUUUUUCUCCUUAGUUGGUGUCCCCCUUUCUCAAGAGAAAACCAUCGGCCCCGUCAACUCUCUGGAAUUCCUCGGCAUUACUUUAGAUACUGUGAAAUUCGAAGCCAGCCUGCCCCCUGCCAAACUCCAACGUAUUCUCUCACUCAUCAACAGUUUUCAGAUCUCCUCUUUCAUUAAGAAGCGAGACCUCCUGUCUCUCCUCGGUCAUUUUAAUUUUGCCAUUUGCAUCAUUCCUCAGGGCAGAACAUUUAUCUCACGUCUUCUAGUCCUCUCAUCAACUGCGAAGAAUAUGAAUUCACACGUCAAAAUCUCAGCCGAAGCCCGAAAAGAUAUAAAAAUGUGGAUUUCUCUCCUUACUAACUGGAACGGUCUCUCCUUAUUUUAUGAUAACUUUAUUUCAGCCCCUCACGAUCUUGCCCUCUUCACAGACGCCUCAUCCAUCGGAUUCGGCGGGUUCCUCUCAUGCGAAUGGUUCUCCAGCACUUGGCCCCCUGAAAUUCAGCUUCUUCCCCCUCAAGAGAAAUCCACUGCUCUCCUAGAAUUAUAUCCAAUCGUAGCAGCCGCUGUCCUCUGGGGUCACCAAUGGUCAAGGAAAUCAAUCCUUUUCUUCAGUGAUAACAAACCCACAGUGCACAUCAUCAACAAAGGACGUUCUUCAUCCCCUCUCAUUAUGCGCUUGCUCCGUCGUUUCAUAUGGUCUUCUGUAUCUCUCAACUUCCUAAUACAAGCCCGCCAUCUUCCUGGUACCCAUAAUAAUGCUGCUGAUGCUCUCUCCCGCCUGCAGAUAUCCAAGUUCUGUCAGCUGGUCCCGUCUGCUUCCACAAACCCCCUUCAGAUCCCACAGUUUCAUCAGCUGCUUCUAGACUGAACCCUACCCUCCGCAACCUCCUUCAAUCUGCUCAAAACUACAUGUCUACAGCCCUCACCCCUUCUUCAAGAGCUUCUUAUUCUACAGCCUGGUCAGCAUUCCUAACCUUCUGCGCUCAUAAUCAUAUCCACCCAUUCCCUUCAAUCAAGACUGGAUUCUGGCUUUCAUUGUCCAUGCUAAGGAAUCUCUCCAUCUCUCCCCAGCAUCCAUUAAAUCUUACAUUUCAGGAAUCCAAUAUCACUACCGCAUCAUGUCCGUGCCUUCUCCCACCAUUCUCUCCAUACCAGUAGUUCGUCUGACUCUCCGUGGAAUCUGCAAAAGUCCCCCCCCCCCGCUGCACUUUCCCGCUUGCCCAUAUCAACAGACAUUCUCCAUCCACUCAUCUCUACUCUUCGGAAAGGUUGCUUCUCCCCCUACGAAGAUCUCCUCAUGGAGACCAGAAGUCUCAGAAUUCACAGUUCCUUCAGCUUCUAGUUUCUCACUCCAUUAUCACUCAUCACUGGUUCUCAGCCCACCUCUCCACGCUCCUCUCCAGAACAGUCCUCCCUCCUCAGCUUUAUAUUCCCCACUCAUUUCGUUUAGGCGCAGCUACCUCCGUCGCAAGGGCCAGCAUCAACCACAGCCUGAUCAAGACCAUGGGGCGCUGGUCCUCCUCUGCAGUAGACUCUUAUGUUCGUUCAUCCCCCUCCGAUAUAGUCCUAGCCCAUUUUAAAAUUGCUAGUAUGCCCGGAGUGGGGGCUACCUGACCGCCGGGGCCACCAGAGGUUUUCCCCUAAUCGGCCUCAAGGGGUUUUUCCCUCUCCACUGAGCGGCAGAUAUACACAUAAUCACAUCCUACUAAUAUCCACUAACUUCCCUCUGUUUGUCUCGUUUGUCCUUCUGGUCUUGUGUCUAUGUUAUGCGUUGGCAUGGCUCUCUUUGUUCGUCUCACGGUGUGGGAGAUUUCGUGAGGUGCCGGGGGUCCAUCCUUUGGGGGGCAAGUGAGUCUCACUUCCCCGACCUCAGGGUUAGGCAUCUGCCUCCCUUACCUUCAGGGGGGUUCUCACAAUGUGAGUCAGAGCGGACCCCCGGCCAUACCCUGUCCUGUCGCAGCUCCUGCGCUUAUCUUGCCUCACUCGAGGCUCUGUUCAAUUCUGCCUUUCUUUUGGGACGUGGCCCUUGUGCUCGAGUCCUAUACUAAACUCUAUGCUUUGUCCUUAUUUCAGGUCCCAGGCAGGGCGACGUCUCGGCCAAUCAGGGGUUUAACGAGCGCCCCUUACAGAAGUCUCAGACGCUGGGUAGCCCUCUCUCUCUCAUCUCCUUUUAUGUCCUUGUCAUCCGGGACCGACUUCCUCUCGAGGGGUCGGCUCUCCAGUCAUAACCCUCGUAUAUGUUUUCGGUUGCUGGGUCCUCUGUCCCUGGGAUGCGUCGGCAUCGCUGCCCUCAGUCAGCGACCACCUUUCUAUCCUGUCUUCGGUAUGCUGGGUCCUCUGCCCCUGGGAUGCGUCCCAGGUACAUCGGAGGUGUCGGUUGAUUUGGCAGUGGAAGGCAUGGCAAGGCUUGACGGUUCCUGCGGUGGGUGGGGUGCGGCGGGAGAGCCGGCCUGUGGGACCCCCCGGGAGUUCUGGAACUUAUUUCUUUUAACUAUUUUUUUUCAGGACAGUAACAACCAUUAAGUUUUUUUUUGUUUUUUUUAGAUUUUUACCAACAGGAGAGGACUGCCUAGUGUGGUUUAUUUUUAAUAUUGUUUUUUGGUACUCCCUAUUGUGUGCUUUUUACUAUUUUGUCUGUUUAUCAUUGUGUUGAUUUUAAUGUUUGAAAUAUCCCUGUUGAGAACAAUAAACUUUGUUUUACCUA